GAUGAACGCUGGCGGUAUGCUUAACACAUGCAAGUCGAACGGUACCUUCGGGUAUAGUGGCGGACGGGUGAGUAACGCGUGAGAAUCUAUCUUCAGGUCGGCGACAACAGUUAGAAAUAACUCCUAAUACCGGUUGUGCCGAUAGGUAAAAGAUUUAUUGCCUGAAAAAGAGCUCGCGUCAGAUUAGCUAGUAGGUGGUGUAAGAGACUACCUAGGCUUCUAUUUGUAGCUGGUCUGAGAGGACGAUCAGCCACACUGGAACUGAGACACGGUCCAGACUCCUACGGGAGGGAGCAGUGGGGAAUUUUCCGGAAUGGGCGAAAGCCUGACGGAGCAAUGCCGCGUGAGGGACGAAGGCUGUUGGGUCGUAAACCUCUUUUCUCAAGGAAGAUUCAGACGGUACUUGAGGAAGAAGCACCGGCUAACUCUGUG
rnacentral:rRNA from 1 species